AUUGUGCUCACCUCGUUAGGUCAGUCAAGCGUCGCCCACAAUAGUUUUCUGUAAAAAAUAAGCUGUACAUGUCUUUACACAAUGAAGAAAACAUCUGUUAGUGAUCGACCACCAUUCUCUGAGUUAUUGAUAUAGAUAUAUUUUCAAAUACUUAUAGCAUUGAGGCAUAUAGUUGAAUAGAAUGAGGUCUCUGUAUUUACUGGUACCUCUGUUGUGUGUGUUGUUAACCGUCGGAUCAAUAACUGUCUCAGCAGCACCGAUACUAGAAAAAGGUGUGGAAAAUAAAGCUCAAAACAAUACCAUUCUGACGCAUGUUAGAGAUGGAGAUAUGGCCUCGGGUAAAGACGGAUGUUGUUGUGCAGGCGGCUUGUGUGGAAAAAAAUAAAAUUAAUUAGCCGGG